rnacentral:rRNA from 1 species
GCGGGAGGCUUAAUACAUGCAAGUCGAGCGGCAAGGUCUUCGGACCCUAGAGCGGCGCACGGGUGAGUAACGCGUACGCAAUCUGCCCUUCAGUGAGGAAUAGCCCUGGGAAACUGGGAUUAAUACCUCAUAAUAUUAUUAUACCGCAUGGUGUGAUAAUUAAAGUUCAGGCGCUGAAGGAUGGGCGUGCGUCUGAUUAGCUUGUUGGUAGGGUAACGGCCUACCAAGGCUACGAUCAGUAGGGGGCGUGAGAGCGUGACCCCCCACACGGGUACUGAGACACGGACCCGACUCCUACGGGAGGCAGCAGUAAGGAAUAUUGGGCAAUGGAGGCAACUCUGACCCAGCCAUCCCGCGUGAAGGAUUAAUGCCCUAUGGGUUGUAAACUUCUUUUGUUUGGGAAGAAAUCUGGACAUUUAUGUGCAGUUGACGGUACCUUACGAAUAAGCACCGGCUAACUCCGUGCCAGCAGCCGCGGUAAUACGGAGGGUGCAAGCGUUAUCCGGAAUCACUGGGUUUAAAGGGUGCGUAGGCGGUUUGAUAAGUCAGAGGUGAAAGCUAGCAGCUUAACUGUUAAAUUGCCUUUGAUACUGUCAGACUUGAAUCAGGUUGAGGUAGGCGGAAUGUGACAUGUAGCGGUGAAAUGCAUAGAUAUGUCAUAGAACACCAAUUGCGUAGGCAGCUUGCUGGGCUUGAAUUGACGCUGAGGCACGAAAGCGUGGGGAUCAAACAGGAUUAGAUACCCUGGUAGUCCACGCCCUAAACGAUGUUAACUCGAUAUUUAUUCUUCGGAGUGAGUGUCCAAGCGAAAGCGUUAAGUUAACCACCUGGGGAGUACGUUCGCAAGAAUGAAACUCAAAGGAAUUGACGGGGGUCCGCACAAGCGGUG